GGGUACACACACACGCGUGCGCGCGCGCGCGCACAGAGUGAGAGAAACAAAGGGACCCAUCAACGCUAGCCCGGACACGCACGCGCUCCAACUUUUUUUUGUUAUCCACCCAGCGGAUGCCACCGCGAGGCGCGAGCUGCUCCACUCUGUCCAGAUCUGCGGGAUUUUAUCGGAAGGCUCAACUUCACGACCGCGCUCAAGUUUGGGAUUUUGGAUUAUAUCGACUUGGGAACGUUUUACGGAUUAAGGAUUACCCACGAUUCCCUCUUCCGAAUACUGGAUUAUUUACUCGUGCCGUGGGAUUAUCGCACCGUCCGCGACGGGAAAACGGCGUGAGGUUUAUUGAUCCUGAGGAAUCGGAUGGUUUGGAAUCGGGUCGGUGUUCCAGACGUGUCCCGUACCAGAUGUUCCGGAAUGGGACAUACCAUCAAUGGACACCAUGGGUGUGUUCUUCAACUUGAUCAGCAGGACCUGAGAUGCCCUCAUGCUGACCUGCAACGAAAGAACCGUACAGGAACCGGAGGUUAAGUAACCAAACACAACGAAAGAUCUGUUAUUGAUCACGAUGUGCACGCCGUGGCUCGUCGAGGAAACAGCAGCGAGGUGGAGGAGGAGGAGGAUUCAUCCUGAGUCACUGAGUGAAACUGAGCCUGUUGAAGAUUGAAGACCUGAGAUGAGUCGAAGCCUCCCGCUGUGAGGUCAGGGGUCACUAUUGAUUACUCGCCCAGCAGGAGCCCACUUGGACAUUUAAGGACUUGAAGUACCACAGUUGCAUUUAUCAUGAUCAACCAGGCCUGAACAGGACUUGGCAGACUAGUGCAGUGCAUCAUGGGAAAACUGCUGAGCUCAUCAGAAAGGGCAGAAGUGCACACCAUGAUGACCUUUGACCUUCGUCUUUUUUCCAGAUUUGUGAGGAGAGCAUGCUGGAGGUUUUUUUCUUUUUCCCCAAAACCUUUUUUUUUUUUUUUUUUUUAAACAAAGAUUUCAUUGUUCCAAAAGGGCAGCCAAAAAAAAACCUCACGGUGUGAAAAAUCGAAACUACCGAAAUAAAUAAAUAAAAAGCCGAGCAGUUGAGGGUUGAGGAUUUUGCUUAAGGGCCGUAUAAUGUUCUGGUCACUAGCACAGAAACUUAACCACUGAGUGACUACAAAUAUAAAUAUUUAGCUCUUCAAAUGUAAAUUACUAUUUUGAAUUUGCUGCAUUGGUAGUUAUUUCAUAAAUGGUAAAAAAAAAAAAGUAUUAGUUUUAUUAUAUUAUUUAAAUGUACCAUGUUAUGUGUGAACAUCCUCAAACACUUUAUUAAUAAAUAAAAAAAUUUUAAAAAAGAAUAUAAAAUUGUUUUUUGCACUUAAGUUCAAAAAUCCUCAACAAUCUCAAUAUACAAUUAAUCCUAGAAGUAUCUCCAGCAGGCUACGAGUUGCUUUGUUCACAUUUAUGUUUGUAUUUAUUUACUUAUUUAGUAUCAAUUUCAGGUUAAAACUGAAAAUCUGUAACUCUUAAUCAUUCUGUGUAUUUGUUUUAUUAUUUACAUACACGCUAAGAUCUUGGAAUUAUACGGUUCUAUUUGGUCAUUUUAAUAGAUUAAAGAAAUGAUCACUAAUCUCAAAUUCUAAUGAUAUAUUUCUAAACUCAGUGUUCAUAUUUUGCUAUUAAAAUGAAUUUGUUAAAAAUUCUAUGAUCAAACAUUCUUUGAUCAUAAAGUGAAUUUGUUGUGUAUGUUCCAUGUCAUGUAAAUGUGUUCUCAUCAUGUGAGUUCACUUUGCCAUUGUAUCCUCGAACAACUAAUGCUCAAAUUAUGACAUGCAAUUGUAAAAUUCUUAACAGUCCCCGAAAACCAUUUCUAAAACGUACCGAUGAAAAAGAACAAAAACAAAGAACGUGGAGCGCGAAGUGGGUCCAAAUGGAUAACCAGACUAUGGAAGACGAUGUGGGUCAGAACCACAGAGGACUUAACCAGGGCAAACCCAGAGAAAGUGAGCGAGCUGUCACACCUUGUGACCCAGGAAGGAAAUUCAGGACCAAAUUAGUGCCAGAUGGAUGACAUCACCUGGAGGCCAGAGCGCGAGACGAGUGCCCAGACUGCACGAACCCCCCGUGACCCCACCGUGACCCCUGCGACCUCACCAUACUAUCGUCCUCUUUAUGUUUCAGAAUGGUGUUUUCUCCUUCACUGUGGAGACAGCUGAGCGCUGGCAGGCUCUUCCCACCGGCGCUUGUUAAGACGACAGCUCUCAGAAAGCUGAAGGCUCGGGUCGAGGGUCCGUCUCUCUCCUCUCGACCACACGGAGGGGAAACGAGACGCUCCGAGGGGCAGAUGGAUGUGUUUACACCUGCGGGAGGUGGAGGAGGAUGGAGGGAGGAAGAGGAGGAGGAGGAGGAAGAGGAGGAAGAGGAGACAAAGCGUCUCCCGCCUCUGUCGUUCCGAGUCGUACUGCUGCCAUCCAGCUCACGUGAGAGGAACAGCACGUUCCAUCCGUCCGUCCGAUCCCGGCUCACCUUCUCGUCUAACUCCGGCGUGACGGGGAACGGACAACACGCUCGGGAUCGGUCUCCUCUCUGCUCCGCGGGCGACGCGGCAGAUCUUCUCCUCACCGAUCCCGGGAAAUCCCGAGGAGCAGGAGACUCGGAAUCCGAGCACGCUGCAGCACCGGCGUCGUUCUCUUUUUAUUUCAGCUCGCUCUCUCUCGCCUGGACGCUGGACGGAGAACCGGAGAACUCCGGACUGGCUCGGAUCUGAUCCGAGUGGAUAUACUGGGAAUUUGUAGACGUGUCGAGUUAAAAGGAUGGUGUCGUAAAGUGCCUCCACUCGGAUCGGUGGCUUCGGUGGAGAAUCCGGGAUCCUGUCUGAUACGGAAAGCUCUGAUUCAGUUCGUAUACCAGAGCUGGAAUAUUUUACAGAUCUUAAUGGAUCACGCCUGGAUUUUUCCAGAAGCUUCUCUGGAUCCGAGUGUGGACUUUUACUGCGCACUGAAGCACGGAUCACUCGGGUCAGAUCUGUACGUUCCCAUCUUUCCGGAAAACAAAUGUCCUUUUUUUUUUUUUUUUUUUUUUUAAAUGGAGAGGACGGAGAGAGAGAGGAAGAUAUAAGAACUUGUUUUUUUUUUCUUCUUUUCUUUCCAUGAUGGAGAACGUCACCAAUUCUGGAUUGAAUCUUUCUAAACUUUGGACACUUUUUAGGAAAAGGGAUUUUCUCCACAGAAGAUGACUAUUUUAAGCUUUUUUUCUUUAUCCCGUGAAUGCGCUUGUUCUAAAACGUUAUCGUUUCUAUAGUAACAUGUUUGUUUAACAUUCACGGAAGGAGUCUCCAGUGUCCGACGUAAAUCUAGAACUUCUAGGACGGAGGAGUUUGUGCUUCUUUUGCGGUUUCUCGGUAAUAAAAGACGAUGAACAAAACCAGGGAUGUUCCACAACCUUAAAGGUAACUCUAAAUGGAUAGAAACUAUGGGGUGAAGUUCUUUAACAAAUAAAAAAGUUUAAUCGUUGGCAAAUCUGCUGUGCGUGUGAUCUGUGCACGCACACUCAGCCAGUUCAUCCUGAUGAUGAUGAUGAUGAUGAUUUACUGGGUUUACUCUUGGAAAAGGUUCUUCAAGGGUUCUUUAAGGGUUCUUUGCUUCCAAACACUUAUUUGGAGGGUUCUACGUAGAGUCGUUAAGGGUACGGAAAUUGUCCAGGAGCGUAGCUAGCUGGAGUUUCGAUCUUUCCAUAAAUAAAUAAAUAAAGAAUAUCUAGUAUGUUUCCAUCAACAGUUCCAUCCAUGACAUUCUUGCAAAAAUUUUGGGUACUUUGCUCCAAAAAACGACCAAGAUAUUAACGUCUCUGUAUGUAGGAGUAACCCAGGGGGCGGAGCUUAACAAAGCGUUAAAUACGCCUAUUUUAUAUUGUUUAUAUAAAAACCCCACUGCUAAAUUGCAUUUUUUUGGCACUCUGCCAUGUUUGCAUCUUGGUAAAAAUGGUUCUUCAAGAGUUCUUCAGAGGUUCUGAGGAUAAUUAAGUGUUCUUGGCCUCCAAAACGGUUUCGACCUGGAACCGUUUCUUGUCGAAAAACACGUUUUUUUUUGUAGAGUUCUACAUAGAAUCUUUACGGGUUUCCCAAAAGAAAGACAACCGAACAACCCUGAAGGGUUCUAAACACUUUGCUGUAGGGUUCUAUAUGGAAUCUUAAAGGGUUCCCCCAAGAGGGACCGCAAAGGCAAUGUAAAGGUUCUACUAAACAAGUGUUCUUCAAGGGUGUGUUAGACAGGUAAGGAUUUUUAGCUUCCAAAAAAAAAAAAAAAACUGUUCUAUGUGGAACCAUUUCUAUUAUGGAAAGACACUCUGUCUUGUAGGGUUAGCCUCCUAAAAUGUUUGAACCAUUUGUUGCUCUAUGUAGAAUCUUUACGGGUUCCCCGAAGAGAGACACCCGAAGAACUCUUAAGAAUCGUGGAUCAUUUAAUGGUUCAUAGUUUCCUCAAGCAGUUCUCUGUGGAACCUUUUCUAAUGGACGAAGCACACUCCGUUGUAGGGUUCUACAUAGAAGCUUGAACGGUUCUCAUAGCAGGGGCGACGCGAAUAGAAUAGGUUCUUCACCGGUUCCUUAGAGGUUCUGUGGAUAAUCAAGGGGGUUUUAGUCUCCUAAAAGGUUUGAACCAUUUGUUGUAGCGUUCUACGUAGGAGUUCCCCCAGGAGAGACGAGCCUUAAGAAUGUUAGAAGAAAGGGUGUUUAUGGGUUCACUGGAUAAUUGAAGGGUUCAUAGUCUCCUAAAGCAUUUCUACGUGGAACCUUUUCUAAUGGAACUCUCUUGUAGGGUUUUACACAGAAUCUUUCACAGUUCCCGCAGAGGGACAACACGAAUCAUCCUUAAGGGUUCUAAAAAAAAAAGAAAGAGAGAGAGAUGUGUGUGUGUGUGUGUUUGGAGGUCGGUCUUGUCAGGACCCAUCACACUCAGCCAUCUGGAGACAUGAACACCCUCAAAAAGCGGUCAUCAGGGCUUCAGGGAUUUGCACCCAGUUGCAUCAGUUCAGCUCAGCAGCUUCGCUAAAAAUAAUAACCACCGACAACAACAACAACAACAACAACAAUAACAAAACCCAGCAGAAACACAAGAAAAUAAAAACGCUCUCGGGAGACGUUAAUGAGUUUUAUUUCAGAAUUUAACGAUGCGUUAGUUAGAGAAGCCGGAAUUUCAUUCACUUUGAUUUUUUAUUUUUUUUUAUUAUAGAAAAUCCAAAAUGGCUGUUUGUUAUGAAAUGAUGAACUGCGCUGGAAGGUUCUGCGUUCUGAUCCGUCAGGUGUUGAUUGGUUUUAUACUCAUUUAAAGCAACUAUAAACGGAUAAAAAGUACACGUUCUUUAGUGACGAAAAACGAUCAGCCUUUUC